UUCUUCUUCUUCUUCUUCUCUCUUCUUCUUUCUUCUCCUCCCGCUUUCUUUCUAUGUUCUUCUUCUCCGGCUGAUUUCUGUGCUUGCAAUUGAGAGAAUCAAUUGAUGAUGUCAUAUAGAUGAUGAGGGAGGUGUUUUUGUUAUGAAUCAUGAAGAAGGAGUGAUGGAUUGAAGAGAAUUAGAAGUUGGGGUUCUGUGGGUUGAAGAUGAACUGAUUUAAUUAGAUAAAAAAAGAUUAAAAUAUGGGUUUCAAUGAAUCUGAUGUGAAGUGUAAGGUUAUGGGGUUGAUUCCGAAGAAGAGCAUUUAUUCGACAGAUUGAGGAAAUUAGGGUUUGUAAUAAUUUCCGAAGAAGAUUUGGAAGAUGAAAUUGAAGGAUGGGUUUUGAAGAUGAUGAGGUGAAUAAGAAGUUAGUGAUGUUAAUUUGAAGAUUCAGUUACGGUGAAGGUAAGAUUUGAGGAAUUAGGGUUUCUGCUCUUCCCCAGACUAGAAUUAGGGUUUGUAGAUCGAAUUGUAUAUUUGUAUGGAUUUGAUAAGUAAACUAAGUUGUUGGUGGAUGAAGAAUAACUGGGUUGUGGCUUAAUUGAAGAUGUGAAGUGUUUUGUUGGAAGAUCAGUGAGUUAGGGUUCUAAAGAGGAUUGAGAAAUAAUUGGGGUUUAUGGUGUUGGUGUUGUGAAACGAGUUGAACUGUUGAGGAACUGAAUGGAGUUAAAGUAAGAAGAAUUGGAUUCAAUUGCUCGACCUGGACCAUCCUGAGGUAAUUGUUUCUCUCAGUUGAUUCAAUAUGGUUAUUCAGUUCAUUAUUUUUUUAUGGGUGAUUGAUUAUUGAUUUGUAAAAGGUGGUAUUAAGAAUUGAUAAUGAAAUGGUUGAGCUGAGUUAACUGUGGUGGUGUUGUAAGGUGCGGGGGUAUGUGUAGAUGAAUAUUUUUCUAAAUUAGUAACUUUGUGUGGUGUUGAGCUGAGAUGCAGCUGUAAAUUAUGGAACUGGUGGGGAAGAUUGUAAUUGUGCUAACUUGGGUUGCAGAGUGGAUGUGUGAGUGAUAUCUGUAUGAAGUAGUCUUAUGGAUAUAGUAGGGGGGUGAGUGUAGUAAGUUAGUGUUACAGAUGGUGGUGAACUGAAUAUGGGUUGCAGAUGGAAUGAGAUGGUGUUGGUGCUGAGUUAAGUAUGACCUGCAGAUGGUUUUGUGGGUUGCAACUGCAAUUCAAGUUGCAUGUGAUGAUACGGGUCAUGUGAGGUGGAAUGGAUUGUAAUGAAGGUGAUGUGUAAAUGGAAUUGGGGUCAUGAUGGUGGUGUGUUAAGACCGAUAUUUGAGUAUAGUUAAGUUAAAGAUGAAUGUUAGGAUUUUGGAGAGGUUAAUGAUAUUGAUUUGGCAGUGUUAAGAUAGGAUGUGUAAGGUGGAGUAAGUUGUAGUACUGUUAUGGCAGUGAUUUUAGUGAAAGCCUGCAAUGCAGAUCAAGUUAGUCUUUAUUAACAACGAUCGAUUCAAAGGAUGAACCAGUGGAUCGUGGAUCUCGAGUAGGAGAGGCUUGUCAUCAAAAGAGGUACUCUUGUUGCUGCGAUGACAUUUUACCGAGAGGAUGUGUCCAGGCCUCUCGGAGAAUACAUGUAUGGACCACAAUAUCAGGAGAUUUAGGAACAAAAUCGUCUCAGAGAACAUGAGGUUUCGCCGGCGCACCACCAGCUGCCGAACGGAGCUAGCACCGUCCGGCCAACUUCCGGC